rnacentral:misc_RNA from 1 species
GAUGAAGAACGUAGUGAAAUGCGAUAAGUAAUGUGAAUUGCAGAAUUCAGUGAAUCAUCGAAUCUUUGAACGCACAUUGCGCCCGCCAGUAUUCUGGCGGGCAUGCCUGUUCGAGCGUCAUUACAACCCUCAGGCCCCCGGGCCUGGCGUUGGGGAUCGGCGAGGCGCCCCCCGCGGGCACGCGCCGUCCCCCAAAUACAGUGGCGGUCCCGCCGCAGCUUCCAUUGCGUAGUAGCUAACACCUCGCAACUGGAGAGCGGCGCGGCCAUGCCGUAAAACACCCAACUUCUGAAUGUUGACCUCGAAUCAGGUAGGAAUACCCGCUGAACUUAAGCAUAUCAAUAAGCGGAGGA